rnacentral:rRNA from 1 species
CCCUUAGAUGUUCUGGGCCGCACGCGCGCUACACUGACGAAUGCAACGAGUUUAUAACCUUGGCCGAAAGGUCUGGGUAAUCUCCAAAUUUCGUCGUGAUGGGGAUAGAUUAUUGCAAUUAUUAAUCUUCAACGAGGAAUGCCUAGUAAGCGCAAGUCAUCAGCUUGCGUUGAUUACGUCCCUGCCCUUUGUACACACCGCCCGUCGCUCCUACCGAUUGAAUGGUCCGGUGAAGCGCUCGGACCGCGGCCUCUUGACGGUUCGCUGUCGAUUGGCUGUGGGAAGUUCGUUAAACCUUAUCAUUUAGAGGAAGGAGAAGUCGUAACA